AUUCUUCAUAGGCUAUUAUACAUCAGAAUUUGAUUCAGAGCUUCUGAUUAUAGUAGCUUUUGAACAUCAUCAGACUCUGCUAUUCCAAUCAGAAGUUUUUACUUUAAUCGGAGCCCCGAUCGAGAAAAGGAGUGAAAAAGAGCUAAAAACCCUAAAAUUCAGCAUUUUGUACUUGUGGCCUACCCCAUGGCUGGCGCCAUAGACCCUGCCAUGACGUGUCCAAGCUCAACUUCCCUCAACUGCCACGUUCCCCACUACUUCCACUAAGGCGCCUCAGAUUGGCCUUGUUGCGGGCGCCAUGGCCUUGUGGCGGGCGCCACAAGAGGAAAAGUUUUCCCUCCCAUUUUCAAGUUGAAGGGCAUCCUUAUCAUUUCCAUCUUUUUACUUGCUUAUAAAUAGAAACUCGAAAUCACUUUUACAAUGAUCCAAACUUAGAGCAGAGGCAAACUCAGAGCAACUUUGUUUCACUUAGGCAUAUAUUCAGUAUUAUAAAGUGGUAAUCGCUUCGCAUUGGAGUGUUACCACAAUUAUGUAAUCAAGUCUGUGAUAGAGUCUGUAAUCGAGUUUGGAGCACUUUGGAAGGAAGUUAAUCAUGCCGCCAUUUUCAUUUCCGCUUUGCAAA